GGCUGGCAUCAUCGUUAAGGGCAUCCACAUGAGCAUCUCCUUCAACUUAUGUUGCAUGAUAAUAAUUUCCCAUGGUAGUCCACAUGGUUGAGCCAAGUCUUUUAGGUCUGCCAACUUGGCAAAGCCAGUAAACUUUCUUUAGGUCCUACUUUAAUCAGUUUAUUUCUCUUGGAUUUGAUUUACAAUGAUGUAUGGGGCCCCUGUGCCACUUCCUCCCCUGAAUGACAUAAUAUUUUAUAAUUUUUGUGGAUGAUUUUUCUAAAUUUAUUUGGUUUUAUCCUAUAGUUCAAAAGUUUGAAGUAUUUCAUAUUUUUCUUAAUUUUCAAGACUUUGUUGAACGUCACUUCUCCCGUAAGCUUAAGUCCAUCCAAAUGGACCAGGGUCGUGAAUAUCGUUCACUUCUAACCUUUUUCACUACCUAUGGAAUUCAACAUAGGAUCUCCAAUCCCUAUACCCAUGAACACAGGAUCUGUUGAAAGAUGUCACCGUCACAUAGUCAAAACCGGUCCCUCCUUGCUUGCCCAUGUUUCUGUCCCGAAGCAAUACUGGCGUUUUGCCUUUGACACUAUGGUUUAACUCAUUAACCACAUGCCUUCCAGGGUCUCUAACCAUGUUACUCCCUUCCAACAGGCUUUUUAUCAAUCUUCAGACUAUUCCUUCCUUUGCAUCUUUGGAUGCAAGUGUUACCCCUUCCUCCAUCCCUAUAACAAUCACAAAAUGGACUACCGCUCCACCCCAUACGUUUUUCUUGGCUAUAGUCCAUCUCACACAGGCUACUACUGCCUUGUCUUGGCCACUAGUCGCAUGUACAUUGCAUAUCACGCCCGUUUUGAUGAAACCAUUUUUCCUUUCUCCACUCAUACCAUUCUUGAUCCUUCUACUCUCACUCUCCUCUACUUUGUUCCUUAGGCUUCUACCCCCAUUCGGGUAACUCCCUUACCGGCUGCCAACCCAGUCGUUUGCUCCUCUCCCAUACUGCCCACACCCCCAUCCACCACCUUUAGCAUACCAUCACCCAUUCAGCCACACUUACUGCCCCUCCUCUUCCCUAUUCCUCUCACCUCUCCUAUUCCCACACCAGACCACACACCGUCCACCUCCCCUGCCCACCGAACUCAUCCUCUAACCUCCAUCAAUGCCACCACCAACCCCACUAUCCCACCUUCCUCACCGUCCCCUCCUACUCCCCCUACUGGCCUCCAAAUUCUCCCUCAACCUGACCCCCCACCUACUCGCCUCCAUCAUAUACAGCCCCGGCCUUGACCCAGUGCCCUCACCGCUACCUCUCCCCCCACCACUGAACCAACCUGCUACUCCCAACCCUCCAAAUCCCCUGAAUGCGCGUGAUGCAAUGGCAGCAGAGUUUAAUGCCCUCAUCCAGAAUGGCACAUGGUCUCUUGUUCCCCGAUCCCCUCAUAUGAAUCUGGUUGGCCUCAAGUGGGUUUUUAGAAUCAAAAGGAAAUCUGACGGUUCACUGGAACGCUAUAAGGCACACCUUGUUGUAAAGGGGUUUCAUCAAUAGGAAGGAUCGGACUACAAUGAGACAUUCAUUACAGUGGUCAAACCUACCAUAAUCUAAUCCAUCUUAGCUAUUACAGUCUCCAGAAGUUGGCCAAUUCGCUAGUUAGAUGUCAACAAUGCCUUUCUCCAUGGCCUUCUUGAUGAAGAGGUCUUCAUGAUUCAACCUCCUGGUUUCGAGGACCAGUCUCAUCCACAUCAUGUGUGUCGUCUUCAUAGGUCCUUGUAUGGUCUGAAACAAGCACCCCAUGCCUGGUUUCAACGACUGACUCAGUUCUUGCUUCAAUUGGGCUUUCAGGCUUCUUGCAUAAACCCAUCUCUUUUUAUUUACCACAAGGGUAGCAGCUAUAUAUAUAUAUAUAUAUAUUAACUUAUGUGGAUGUCAUUCCUGUUACCGGAAGUGUUCCCUUGCAGGUCACCUGCCUCCUUCAUUGCCUGGUUACAGAGUUCUCUAUUAAGGACCUCGGUCCUCUACACUUCUUCCUUGAUGUUGCAACUCUUCAGCAUCCUCUUAGUCUUCUCCUUUCUCAGGAAUGCUACAUUGAUGAUUUACUUAAGCGUUCUGGGAUGGUCGAUUGCAAGCCUUCACAGACCCCCAUGGCCAUGUCCUCUAAGUCAUUCGCUUCAGGGGGUGAUCUAUACUUUGAGCCUACUAAGUAUUGUUCCAUUCUUGGUGCACUGCAGUGCAUCACUCUCACCAAGCCUGAUGUUAGUUUUGCGGUUAAUCGGGCUUGCCAAUAUAUGCACACGCCUACCGAGGACAACUGGAGUUUAGUCAAGCGCAUCUUGCUCUAUCUCAAGGCCAGUUGCUCUCAUGGCCUUCUACUCCAGCACUCCCCCUCUUCCUCUUUGCAUGCCUUCAGUGAUACUGAUUGGGCAAGAAGCUCCAUUGAUCGCCACUCCACUGGUGGCUUUGCCAUUUUUCUAGGCCCUAAUCUUAUAUCGUGGACGUCCCACAAGCAACAGACAGUUGCACACUCAUCCACAGAGGCAGAAUACAAAGCAUUGGUUGACACAUCUGUAAGCUCAUCUGGUUAAAGUCUCAUUUUAAAGAACUCGGCCUCUCCAUUAGUGGCCCUCCCAUUUUGUGGUGUGACAAUAUUGGUGCCACUUAUCUCUCUGUAAACCCUGUUUUUCAUGCACGAACGAAGCACGUCGAGAUUGACUGUCAUUUUGUCCGUGAAGGAGUCACAUCUAAACAACUCUCUGUUCAGUUUAUCUCCACAAAGGAUCAGAUAGCAGAUGUGUUCACCAAGGCCUUACCCACUGUACGGUUCCAGUUUAUGCGUGACAAGCUGAAGAUUCGAUCCUCUCCAUCUCAUCUUGAGGGGGUGUAAUAACGUAUAUUGUGAUCUACCCAUUCGGGUAACUAAAUAUACUCUUACUAUACUGCAGUAGCAUACUUUUGGUAGGACAAUAUUCCACCAAUCUUCCCUAUCAUGGAUACUUUCCAUAUAUUGUACAAACCCUAGUAAACUAGGGCAACACAUCUCCUAUAUAUAGUGUAAUAUUCUCUCCAUUGAGAGUCAAGCAAUACAACACAUUUUCACUGUGUCAUUACUCUCCAUAUCAGUCACCACUCUCACAACACCAUCCAAGCACAUCCUCUUUCCCUCUCCCACUUCAUUCCUCUCCCAUACCCAUUGAAACUCUCAGACUCUCUUCCUCCUUGGAAACGUGAGGCAAGGAACAGAAAUGGAAGAAAGAUGGAGAAAAGAAAAGUGGAAUUAGAAGUAGGAGGAGAGGAGAAAAGAAAAGAGGUAUUCUUCUCACCCUACCUCUCCCUUUCAUUUUUUCCAUUUUUGUUAUUAGCAUACACCCCAACCCCCACCCGGAUUUUCUUCCCUUCCCCUUUCCCUCACUACUCUCUUACUCAUAGCCCCUCUCACUCCUGACCCAAUCCUUUUUCUUCCUCCCUUUCCAUUUUCUCUUUUAGGAUCACACAAGCAAUUAUUCAAAUUCCUUGGAAUGGGUGGACUUGGCAAUUCGGUUAGAUCGAAAUUGUCUGGAAAAACCAUGCAAAAUAUCUUCAGUCGUUACCUUAAUUUCUCAUUGAUUGCACCAGGUUGAGAUUAGCAUUUACGAAUUUUUCAAAGGGUAUACUGAGGGGAGAACAUAUCAUAAUUCCUGGCCGGAGAUGCUCAAGCUUAAGUACACUGGCCCUAUCAUACAUUUGAGAAUUCCAACAAGGCAUUGCCUUUUCAUGGAAUUCGUGAAGAGCUUGGAAGAGGGGAUUCUGUGCUUUUUUUCUUUCUUUUUUUUUUUUUUUUUUUUGUCUUUUGUGGGGGGGGGGGUUUAGGUGGUUGUAGCCUUGUAGGUGGUGACGUGGUUUUUAAUGGCUUAAUUGUGUUGUCCACAGAUGCAGAAACAAGAAAGUGCUCUUCAUCUCUUUUAAUUUGAUAUGAUUUCUAUUUGUAUUUAUUUGAUCAUUUUACAGUUGUUUGAUACGACUUAUUGUAAAUAUUUUUAUUUAUUAUAAAUCAGAUUCAUAAAUUAAUGAAAAA